CGCGUAGGUGGUUAGGCAAGUCGGAUGUGAAAGCCCCGGGCUCAACCUGGGAAUUGCAUUCGAUACUGCUUAGCUAGAGUGCGGUAGAGGGAAGCGGAAUUCCGCAUGUAGCGGUGAAAUGCGUAGAUAUGCGGAGGAACACCAGUGGCGAAGGCGGCUUCCUGGACCGUAACUGACACUGAGGCGCGAAAGCGUGGGGAGCAAACA
rnacentral:rRNA from 1 species